UACAGAGGGGCAAGCGUUGUUCGGAAUUACUGGGCGUAAAGGGCGCGUAGGCGGCCUUCUAAGUCGAACGUGAAAUCCCCGGGCUCAACCCGGGAACUGCGUCCGAUACUGGAAGGCUUGAAUCCGGGAGAGGGAUGCGGAAUUCCAGGUGUAGCGGUGAAAUGCGUAGAUAUCUGGAGGAACACCGGUGGCGAAGGCGGCAGUCCUGGACCCGGUAGUUGGACGCGUGAGGCG
rnacentral:rRNA from 1 species